rnacentral:rRNA from 1 species
UACGUAGGGUGCAGGCGUUAAUCGGAAUUACUGGGCGUAAAGCGUGCGCAGGCGGCUCCUUAAGUCAGAUGUGAAAGCCCCGGGCUUAACCUGGGACUGCGUUUGAAACUGGGGAGCUAGAGUGUAGAAGAGGGGGGUGGAAUUCCAGGUGUAGCAGUGAAAUGCGUAGAGAUCUGGAGGAACACCGAUGGCGAAGGCAGCCCCCUGGGCGUAACACUGACGCUCAUGCACGAAAGCGUGGGGAGCAAACAGGAUUAG